UUGUGACUAAAUUACUCGGUGACCGGCGAAGUUAAAUCCAAAGGCGACUUUGGUAAUCGUAUAAUUUUCCACAACGAAAUUAUGACGAUUUUCGGCGACUUUACAGGUCGUCGUAAUAGCGAAUUUGACCAGUGAAAAUAAACAGCGAACCUUAUCAGCGAAAUUGAGCUUUUCAGUGAACUUUGAUCAGCGAAAUUGAACCUAUAACAGUCUAGCGAAUUUAGGUGACUUAUCAGCGAAAUUAUCAGCAAAUUUAAAGUGGUGGAAUUUCAGUUGGCAAGCGUCGGGAAAUUUUCAGUGUUUUGCAAAUAGAAUUUGAUCCGUAACUCGUUUGACAGAACCGUUUGCGCCGUUAGAUUCCCUGGAAAAUCCCGAAUUCGGUUUUUGACAUUAUGUAUCAUUGGAUUCGUCUUUUCGAGACGAUUCUAACGGUUUUACAACGUUAAAAUGUCGAACAUGUCUACUUUGAAUGAGCUGUUGAAGAUGGAGCAUGAGGUUGGCACUACCAACAAACCACCUAAGAUGAUGAAGGUGGAAAAUUAUCUGACAUGGAAGGAUCGUUUUCAGUCCUUCAUUG
rnacentral:lncRNA from 1 species